CUUAAUUGCCAGCAUUCAGUUGGGCACUUUAAAGAGACUGCCGGUGUUAAACCGGAGGAAGGUGGGAUGACGUCAAGUCCUCAUGGCCUUUAUGCUUAGGGCUACACACGUGCUACAAUGGGUGGUACAAAGAGAAGCCAACUCGCGAGAGCGCGCCAAUCUCAAAAAGCCAUCCUCAGUUCGGAUUGGAGUCUGCAACUCGACUCCAUGAAGUUGGAAUCGCUAGUAAUCGCGGAUCAGCAUGCCGCGGUGAAUACGUUCCCGGGCCUU
rnacentral:rRNA from 1 species